UACGUAGGGGCCUAGCGUUGUCCGGAAUUAUUGGGCGUAAAGAGCUCGUAGGCGGUUCGGCAAGUCGGAUGUGAAAUCUCCACGCUUAACGUGGAGGGGCCAUUCGAAACUGCUGUGACUCGAGUCCGGUAGGGGAGUGUGGAAUUCCCGGUGUAGCGGUGAAAUGCGCAGAUAUCGGGAGGAACACCAGUGGCGAAGGCGACUUCCUGGCCUGUUCUUGACGCUGAGGCGCGAAAGCUAGGGGAGCAAACGGG
rnacentral:rRNA from 1 species